rnacentral:ncRNA from 1 species
GUGGUUCUUCCAUGUGAAGAUUAAAAGGGAAUCAGGUGAAAAUCCUGAACAGUCCCGCUGCUGUAAGCUGUUUUUCCUUAGACGCGAAACUAAAGCCACUGACAAAUAGUUGGGAAGGCAUUCGUGGUCAACAGCAAGUCAGAAGACCUACCACUGAGCG